rnacentral:rRNA from 1 species
GGGAAGUUAUACCCGCACGGAAAGAAAUUGCCGUGUCGAACGGUGUAGGCAGUGAUCGCAGGCAAAUCCGCGGUUGCUAUAAAGCUGAGGCCGGACAGGCCACCGAAUCAAGCAGGUGGAAGGAGUAGAUACUACGCUGCCGAGAAAAGCUUCUAAGAGAGACUGAUUGUGACCGUACCGUAAACCGACACAGGUGGGUGAGGAGAAUAUCCUAAGGCGCUCGAAAGAACCCACGUUAAGGAACUCGGCAAAUUAACUCCGUAACUUCGGGAGAAGGAGUGCUCCGGUAGGGUGACUGGAAUACAUAGGAAACUUUGUAUCGAAAGGUAGCCCGAUGGAGUCGCAGAGAAUAGGCUCAGGCGACUGUUUAUCAAAAACACAGGACUCCGCUAAGCGAAUAGCCGACGUAUAGGGUCUGAUGCCUGCCCAAUGCUGGAAGGUUACGGGGAGGAGUCAGGAGUGGUAACAUUCCGAAGCUCUGAACUUAAGCCCCAGUGAAUGGCGGCCGUAACAAUAACGGUCCUAAGGUAGCGAAAUCCCUUGUCAGGUAAGUUCUGACCCGCAUGAAUGGCUUAACGGUCUGAGCACUGUCUCAACGUGGGGUUCGGCGAAACUGUGCACCGGGUGAAGACGCCCGGUAUCCGCAUCAGGACAAAAAGACCCCGUGGAGCUUUACUGUAUCUUGAUAUUGGAUUUUGGCCUGUUAUGUAGAGCAUAGGUGGGAGACUAUGAAGUUAGGGCGCCAGCCUUGGCGGAGUCGACAAUGGAAUACCACCCUUAUCAGUCUGGAAUUCUAACCUUGGCCCGUUGAUCCGGGUCGGGGACAGUGUCAGGUGGGCAGUUUGACUGGGGCGGUCGCCUCCUAAAGAGUAACGGAGGCGUUCAAAGGUUCCCUCAGCGUGAUUGGAAACCACGCGUAGAGUGUAAAGGCAAAAGGGAGCUUGACUGUGAGGCAAACGAGCCGAUCAGGGACGAAAGUCGGACUUAGUGAUCCGGUGGUACCGAAUGGAAGGGCCAUCGCUCAACGGAUAAAAGCUACCCCGGGGAUAACAGGCUUAUCUCUCCCAAGAGUUCAUAUCGACGGGGAGGUUUGGCACCUCGAUGUCGGCUCAUCGCAUCCUGGGGCUGGAGUAGGUCCCAAGGGUUGGGCUGUUCGCCCAUUAAAGCGGUACGUGAGCUGGGUUCAGAACGUCGUGAGACAGUUCGGUCUCUAUCCGAUGCGGACGUAGGAUGAUUGCGGGGCUCUGCUCUUAGUACGAGAGGACCGGAGUGGACAAACCGAUGGUGAACCAGUUGUCUUGUCAGGGGCACCGCUGGGUAGCUAAGUUUGGAUGGGAUAACCGCUGAAGGCAUCUAAGUGGGAAACCCACCUCAAGAUUAAUCAUCCCAAUCGAUCGAAAGACGAUGUAAGGGACCAUGUAGACUACGUGGUGAUAGGCCAGAGGUGUAAGCGUCGCGAGGCGUUAAGCUGACUGGUACUAAUAUCCCGAGGAUUUACCCU